ACCGAUCUUGGCACCUGUAACCGUGUGGUUCUUCUUCCCGUUUUCAUCAUCCGCUUUACCAAUAUCAUGAUACAAACCGCACUUUAAUGCA
rnacentral:sRNA from 1 species